rnacentral:antisense_RNA from 1 species
CUUCAUGGAUCCGAGCCACAGCGGACGGCCCUCGGGGCGGUCCUGGCCGUACGUGGCGAUCAGCGCCUGCGCCUC